UGUAAGCGUAUACCAAAGUUGUUGCAGUUAAAACGCUCGUAGUUGGAUUUCUACCGAAGAUAGCCGGUCGGGUCUUCGACCUUGUAUCUGGUUUUGUCUUUGGUAUCCUCAUAGGGAACGUUUCUGCGCUUUAUUGCGUGGUGCGGUAUCUAUGACUUUUACUUUGAGGAAAUUAGAGUGUUCACGGCAGGCAAACGCCUUGAAUAUAUUAGCAUGGAAUAAUAACAUAGGAUCUUCGUCCUAUUUUGUUGGUUUCUAGGGCUAAGAUAAUGAUUAAUAGGGAUAAUUGGGGGCAUCUGUAUCAACGCGUCAGAGGUGGAAUUCUUGGAUUGCGUUGCGACAAACUACUGCGAAAGCAUUUGCCAAGGAUGUUUUCAUUGA
rnacentral:rRNA from 1 species